UGUUCGCGCCCAUGGCGGGCGUUUCCUCCCUUCGACUUGAGGCCCUGUCCGAUCCGGACGGGGCCUUCUUAUGUGCGGA
rnacentral:sRNA from 6 species